rnacentral:rRNA from 1 species
GUAGGUGGCAAGCGUUGUCCGGAAUUAUUGGGCGUAAAGCGCGCGCAGGCGGUUCUUUAAGUCUGAUGUGAAAGCCCACGGCUCAACCGUGGAGGGUCAUUGGAAACUGGGGAACUUGAGUACAGAAGAGGAAAGCGGAAUUCCACGUGUAGCGGUGAAAUGUGUAGAGAUGUGGAGGAACACCAGUGGCGAAGGCGGCUUUCUGGUCUGUAACUGACGCUGAGGCGCGAAAGCGUGGGGAGCAAACAGGGAUUAGAUACCCUGGUAGUCCACGCCGUAAACGAUGAGUGCUAAGUGUUAGGGGGUUUCCCGCCCCUUAGUGCUGCAGCUAACGCAUUAAGCACUCCGCCUGGGGAGUACGGCCGCAAGGCUG